AGGUGUACAGUGUGUUUGCCUGAAGGGUUUAGUGUGUGGGGGGGUGCAGUGUGUUUGUGUGAGGGGGUGUAGUGUUUAAGGGGGUGUAGUGUGUUUGUGUGAGGGGUUAUGUGUGUGUGUGGGAUGCAAACACACUACACCACCUCACACACAUUACACCACCUCACACAAACACUGAACCCCUCACACACACUACACCACCUCACACAAACAAUACACCCCCUUUACACACAUACUGCACUCCCUCACACACACACACUACCACACACAGAACCCCUCUCACAAACACUGCACCCCCCCACACACAGCACCCCCUCACACA